UGUACGAAGUAGUCAUAUUUUGUUGUGUAUGAAGUAGUACAUACCUAACAUUGCUGUAAUACUGAUGAAUAUUAAAUAAACUCAUUGGCUGUAAUACUGAGUAAUACUGAAUAAACUCAUUGCUGUUACAUACCUAACAUUGUUGUAAUACUGAAUUGCUGUAAUAGUUAAUACAUCUCUGGUUACAUGUGAAUAAACUCAUUGCUGUAAUAGUUAAUGUAAUAGUUAAUACACAUCUGGUUACAUGGCAGAAUUGGGCUAUAGAACAUUUAUCAUUAAGAUGUUUAAUACAUUUAUCAUUAAGAUGUUUAAUACAUUUAUCAUUAAGAUGUUUAAUACAUUUAUCAUUAAGAUGUUUAAUACAUUUAUCAUUAAGAUGUUUAAUACAUUUAUCAUUAAGAUGUUUAAUACAAUGGGAAGAGGCUUUCACGUUUUUUUUUAUAAACUAUAUAUUGGAUUUAAAUUAUGAUAUAAUAUUACUUUAAAAUAUUAACUUUUAAAAAAAAGUAUUGAUAUUUAAAAAAAUUACGUUUUAAGAAUAUUAGCUUAAACAAACAAAUAUUUAAGAAUAUUGGUUUAAACAAACAAAUAUUUAAGAAUAAACUUUUUUUAAAAUUUCAUUUGUCUACCCUUUCUAUCUAGAUAUUACUUAAGUCUAAUAAGUUUUAUAAGGUCUAUUUUUAAAAAAAAAAAAAUUGGAAUUAGAACUAUACAGUAUUUUCGGAAUUGUAUUAGCUUUCCACUUUACUAAUAAUGUUGGAAGUUAUUCUCAGUGGAUGAUUAUGGGUGAGGCUUUUACUUUUUUUUUCAUAAAAAAAUUAUUUUGCUUAGUUAAAAUUACUUUAAACUAUUAACUUUUUUUAAAAAAAAUAUUGAUAUUUAAAGAAAUCAAGUUUAAAAAUAUUAGCUUAAAGAAACAAAUAUUUAAGAAUAAACUUUUUUAAAUUAUGUAUUGAUCGAAAGAGGAAGAUGAUUAAAAAUAUUAAGUAUACAAGUAAAAGCUUAAGAUAUAAUUUCAAUAGUUCACUUUUGUUAUUUUUGUUGCUAUUCAAUGGCGGCAGUGUGAUCUACGUCUAGAGGGGUUAAUACCGUCUAGUGGGGUUAAUACCGUCUAGUGUUGUAUGAAGUAAAUAAUUAUCAAAGGCGAUAAUGUAGGACUUUGUACCUCAAUUGAGGGCACGGUCACUGAAGCUCCUUCCCAUCCUUGACAGCUUCCCUUGUCUUCAACCCCUCUUCCUUCUUAAUUAUGGCCUCAACUCAAACACAACUUUCUGGAGCAAAGCAACAGGGUAUGUGACAAUUUCAGCUACUGCCUUCAACCAUGGCAACGAAAAGUAUAUUCAUUCUCCAUUCAUAUGACAUUUUUUUAAAUCUCAAAAUAAUAAAUUGCUUAAGGAAACCAAAGAAUACUCAGUUCUUUUACACAUUUUCAAGCUACAUUAGGACCAACAGUUUUAUCUUACUCCUCAAACUGAAAUUUUGUUGCCAAAAUUUUCUCAACCUUCAGUUUCCAACGCUUAAAAGUUUCCAUUAGAGCUUUUAAAAAUAAAAGAAUCUUAAAAUCCUGCAGAACACUAGGAUAGUGUUGAUUUCUUAUACUGUGUUUUCUAUUCUUUAGAAUAAAAAAGGCUCUACAAAAUCAGAGAAAUAGUAAAAGAUGGGAGAAGCCAUUGUACCUCAAUUGAGGGCACGGUCACAGAAACGUGAAGCUCCUUCCCAUCCUUGACAGCUUCCAUCACACUUGUCUUCAACACCUCCUCCUUCUUAAUUAUGGCCUCAACUCAACAUCACAUUUUCUUAUACCUUAAUGAAUAUAUAUAUAUAUAUAUGUAUAUGUAUAUAUAUAUAUGUAUAU
rnacentral:lncRNA from 1 species